CGUGUCCUGUUCAACUCAGGCAAUAAACAGGAUCUUCUAAAGUAAGAACAUGCAUGGGUUUACGGAUCUAGCCAACUAUAAAUAGCUGCCACCACACAAGUUCUUCACUCCAGCCCUGGACCAGACACAGAAGACAUCACGGUCAUCUACAACUCUAGGUUUGGAACCCUAACAACAAGCUGCAGGAACAAUGGCAAGCUGGUGCGCCUGUCCCAAAGUGACGCUCUACGAGAAACCCAAUUUUUGCGGUACAUAUCUUCAAAUCUUCGGGGAUGUUCCAGAUUUAAGAUGUUUAGACAACGCGGUUUCCUCGGCCAUUGUACACGAGGGAAAUUGGGCCCUUUACGACAAACAAUAUUGCGGGCAACGGAUGAUCCUAUGUGAAGGACACAGCUACUGCACCCUUCAAUGCAUGAAUAACAGAGCAUCCUCCAUCAAGGCAGUGUGUUAUUGAUGAAGACAACACGAAGCAACAGGCAGCUCUAUCAUUGAUGGAAGACUCGCCGAUAUGACAACAAAUUGUUUACUAUUCUCCUAAGCACGUACACUUUAACCUGACGAUACCUUCAUUCUCUACAUAUCAGUCAACAAAGGCUGUAUUAUAACCUCCCUGUAUUUGCAUAACCUUGCAGAAUGUUCUGUUGAUGCAACUGCAAUUAAAAAGAAUUUCAAACUGUAUAAAAUGAAGGAUUGUACAGAUUUGACGGCAAAUGCCCUUUUUAUAGCUCAUGCUACAAAACUGUACUCCCACCCUGUAGGUAUGUUUAAAUUAUAGCGGCUUUUUAGAUGCCCAUCUUAAAAGCAAGGAGUGUAAAAAUGGGCGUUGUUAAACCUUUUACAAUUAACUGAACAGUAAAAUGAACAAAUCUGUUAAUGCUUGGAUGUAAAGUAUCGAGUUGUUGCUUUAAUCGUUAAUAAAAGAUUGAAACU